rnacentral:rRNA from 1 species
UGCAGAAUCCCGUGAACCAUCGAGUCUUUGAACGCAAGUUGCGCCCCAAGCCUUCUGGCCGAGGGCACGUCUGCCUGGGUGUCACAAAUCGUCGUCCCCCUCUUCAUCCAUUGCUGAGAUGGGACGGAAACUGGUCUCCCGUGUGUUACCGCACGCGGUUGGCCAAAAUUCGAGCCAAGGAUGCUGGGAGCGUCCCGACAUGCGGUGGUGAACUCAAAACCUUCAUACCGUCGAUCGCUCCUGUCCGAAAGCUCUAGAUGACCCAAAGUCUUAAAAGCGACCCCAGGUCAGGCGGGAUCACCCGCUGAGUUUAAGCAUAUCAAUAAGCGGAGGAAAAGAAACUAACAAGGAUUCCCUUAGUAACGGCGAGCGAACCGGGAAGAGCCCAGCUUGAAAAUCGGACGUCUUCGAUGUUCGA